UACGAAGGGGGCUAGCGUUGUUCGGAAUUACUGGGCGUAAAGGGCGCGUAGGCGGCCCGCUAAGUCGAACGUGAAAUCCCCGAGCUCAACUCGGGAACUGCGUCCGAUACUGGCGGGCUUGAAUCCGGGAGAGGGAUGCGGAAUUCCAGGUGUAGCGGUGAAAUGCGUAGAUAUCUGGAGGAACACCGGUGGCGAAGGCGGCAUCCUGGACCGGCAUUGACGCUGAGGCGCGAAAGCUAGGGGAGCAAACGGG
rnacentral:rRNA from 1 species